rnacentral:rRNA from 1 species
ACACGGGGGGGACAAGCGUUGUUCGGAUUCACUGGGCGUAAAGCGCUCGUAGGCGGUCUUGCAAGUUGAAUGUGAAAACCGAAGGCUCAACCUUCGGCCUGCAUCCAAAACUGCAAGUCUAGAGUACUGGAGAGGAUGGCGGAAUUCCUGGUGUAGCGGUGAAAUGCGUAGAUAUCAGGAGGAACACCGGCGGCGAAGGCGGCCAUCUGGACAGAUACUGACGCUGAGGAGCGAAGGCCGGGGUAGCAAACAGGAUUAGAUACCCUGGUAGUCCCGGCGGUAAACGAUGGGCACUAGGGGUUGGCGGUAUCGACCCCGCCAGUGCCGCAGCAAACGCAUUAAGUGCCCCGCCUGGGGAGUACGGUCGCAAGAUUGAA